UGGGGAAUAUUGGACAAUGGGGGAAACCCUGAUCCAGCAAUGCCGCGUGUAUGAUGAAGGUCUUCGGAUUGUAAAGUACUUUUAUUGGUGACGAUGAUGACGGUAACCAAUGAAUAAGCUCCGGCUAACUUCGUGCCAGCAGCCGCGGUAAUACGAAGGGAGCUAGCGUUGUUCGGAAUAACUGGGCGUAAAGGGUGCGUAGGUGGGUGUGUGCGUUAGAUGUGAAAUCCCCGGGCUUAACCUGGGAACUGCAUUUAAUACGGCACAUCUAGAGUGCGAGAGGGGAAAGCGGAAUGGCGAGUGGAGCAGUGAAAUGCAUUGAGAUUCGCUAGAACACCAGAGGCGAAGGCGGCUUUCUGGCUCGCUACUGACACUAAGGCACGAAAGCGUGGGGAGCAAACAG
rnacentral:rRNA from 1 species